UCGGGUGCUGACGAGUGGCGGACGGGUGAGUAAUGCGUAGGAAUCUGUCUUUUAGUGGGGGACAACCCAGGGAAACUUGGGCUAAUACCGCAUGAGCCCUGAGGGGGAAAGCGGGGGAUCUUCGGACCUCGCGCUAAGAGAAGAGCCUACGUCUGAUUAGCUAGUUGGUAGGGUAAAGGCCUACCAAGGCGACGAUCAGUAGCUGGUCUGAGAGGACGACCAGCCACACUGGGACUGAGACACGGCCCAGACUCCUACGGGAGGCAGCAGUGGGGAAUUUUUCGCAAUGGGGGCAACCCUGACGAAGCAAUGCCGCGUGGAUGAAGAAGGCCUU
rnacentral:rRNA from 1 species